rnacentral:lncRNA from 1 species
AUACAAUGGGUUGAUCUGUAGAAUGGAGUGAGCUGGACAAUGGGGCUACUCACCCCACCCACCUUGCAAAGUGAUGCAGGACAGGAAAUGGGUUAAUAGAAGCUCGGAUUUAGAAGAGUGCCUGGCACGCCUAAGGGCUCAAGCCGUCUGUGUAAUUAUCUUAAACUUUUUCAUUUCGGAAAUGAAACAGCUCCUCCCUUCACCGCCACCUUGGCUAUUUCUGGGACCAAAGGAAUCCUUGAAGCUGACCGGGCAGGAGAGUCCACGCUGGGAGUAAAAUCACUACAAACUGUCCAUCAGAAGGCCCCUGCUGAGUAGUUGGCAGGGUGGCUGCACAUAAUGGAAAGCACAUAAGCUUGAAGCCAGACAGAUGGGAGUUCUAACCCCAGCCCUGCCACUUAUUCCCAGGUGACACUGAGUGGAAAUUAGGCCAAAAUAAAUACUACUUUCUGCUUAAAAAAAUGCAGUGAUGUCCAAAGAGAAGGGAGGAGGAAGGAUGAAAGGAAAGACAGAGGAGGAAGGAAGAGAAGAAAGAAGAGUGGCCGGCACAAGGGCUUGGAGAUCCCUGAAGCUGUUUUCCUUUCUCCUCACCCCCACAGGGAGGGAUCCACAUCGUUGUGGGGUUUUUGUUGUUGUUGUUUUUGUUUUUGUUUUUUUGCCUCCCUUCAUCAAAGCAUUCAUUGUAGUGUAUGGUAAUUGUCUCUGAAUGUAACAGCCUCUCUUCCCUGAGGCCUGGGUCUGCUUGUUUCAUACCAUCUUCUCCUUAACACACAGUGCUUGGUAAACAAUACCUAUUAAUAAAC